CCCCCGAGCCGCCAACCCGGGGGCUCCCAGCGCUGCCCGGGCGGCCUCUGGCCCGCCCCGCCGUGGGUCACCUGCGGCCGGCCCGGGGCUGGCGGGAUGCUCGGCUCCCAGAGGCUCCCCGGGAGCCGCGGGUAGCGUGCGGUGCUGCCCGGGAGGACGCGGCGCUCCCGCUCCCUCCGCUUCGGAGGCGGCUGCGGCCAGGCAGCGCUGCCAGCUCGGGUUACCCCGCGGGUCCCCGGCUCACACGGCAGCAGAAGCAUCAGCGCCUGGGGUAGCCUUAAUGCUGAGCCAAGUGUGUCAGACAGGAGUGAGGGGGAACCGAAGGAAGUGCCCGCCUAUACCUCCGUCUAAAGCAUAUAGAUAGGAAAAACAGCAACAAUGGUGGCUUUACCGGAGAGGCUGCUGCAGAAUGAAUAAUGCACUUUCUAGUAACUAACAUGGCACAGACACCAAGGCACCGAGCUCUUCUGUACCUACUCCUAAAUCUCCACAGCCAGCUCCAGAACAAAUGCCUGCCUCAUCCUUCUCAAGGAAAGGAAGCCCUGCAGUUUUUAUUUAUGGUUUAAAUCAAAAAGAGCAACCACUACGAACACCUGAAAGGUAGAACGUUUUUAUACUGAAAUAACUGAGGAGGGAACACAACACAACACAGUUAAUAGAGUUCAGACCCAGAUUCUAUAUGCUCCUAUCAAGUAACUCUCUGAACCAGGAUUAUCCCAUUUCAACAAACACAGGAAAUACAAAACAAACAAAAAGCAAACCAAUUAGACUGAACGUAAAUGAUACUUAUGGAUUCUGCUGCUGCUCACAUAUAAAUAUUUUGGCAGAAACGUUGGAUUCCUAAUUUGCAGGUAUUUCCCUUUUUUGUUAGUUUCAGGCAGGUACUGAUGGUAAGUGGUUCUGUAGUAUUGAAUUGAUGUUGCAAAUGCUCAGCUGCACAAUUUCAUAAGCAAGCAGCUGCCCCCACACAGCAGCUGUCAAACCACCACCCUGCCCAAAGAUAAAUGCAUGGUGUAUUCUGCCACUAAUACAGUCUCAGGAAAAGAGGAAGUAGUGUGUAAGAUUUCCUAGAACCAAUCUCUGUUUACAGCUGAACUGUAGGUGACACAAGGUAUGACAGAUGCUAUUUGAAAUACAGAGUUUGAAUCAGUUUACAGUAGUUUAUAUACUACAUAUUUAAAUAUGCAUUAUCCUUCUAAACACGCAUAGAAGUAUCUAAACUAUGUACUCACCACAAUAGCAGCUUUCUAAUCCUUUUGGCUGAUUUUUAUCAUCAAGAAAAGUGCUAGAUUCUGCAAAUUACAAAACAGUCAUUUGAUUUUGACCAUUUCAAUGUCACUGUUCAACAGUUUACUGUUAAAACUUUCAGGUGCAAUGUAUAAGGUAAAAGGUAGAUGUGAAAUACUACGAGAUACUGGCCCAAGAAAGAAGUCAUGGAGUACAGAGUAUGCCACUUCAGUGUGUCUGAACAAGGCUCAGGACAGUAGCAGCCCACACUUUAUACCGCUAUUUUGUAACUUGUGCAAAAUUAACAAAUUAACUUCAAUUCUGCAAGCAAAGUAUUACUGAUUUGCAGCUUGCACCACAGAAGUAGAUGUUACGGGUUGUGAUUAAUGUGAAAUGUUCAUUUUCCUGUUACAAUCUAGUUGAAUAAACAGGAAUUUUAUUUUUCAAAGUUUUUCUUGUUUGUCUAACACACAAGUAUACAAAGAUAAGAUUUUUUUUUAUGGCUAUGCUGGUUGAAGAGACAAUAUAGCAUUGUCUAAAGGAUUUUGUAUUUCUUUUGCAGUGUCAAAUUAAAAUUUGCUCAAACCCAAAAAGAGAUGAAGAAAAGGUGGUAGUAAUUAUCCCUUCAAUUAAGAAAUUCAGGACACGCAGUACGUUGAUAUACAGUUCUCUUCCUUCACUAUCCUCUAUGCAUACAGCAAAAUCUAAACAUUUACUUAGUGAAUAUAGAAGUUAAACUGAGCCACUGCAAAAAUGUCAUCAGAUAUUUACUAAAUAUGUUUAUAAUGUGAAGAUAGAAUUUACCAGUAAACAAAAGUGAGUUAUGAAAGGAAUUCUGGGUUGCUAUUUACUCAAACAUUCUUUUGGUUUCAACAUUUUCUGUUUCAACUGCUUUAAUUUUGUGGAUGAUCUACCAGAAAAAUAUCUAGUCUGUGUCACAGGCUAAUGGGGUGACUUUCUCAUAUCUCCUAGCACAUUUUAUGAUGUAUUUUUUUGGUAUCUUGCAUGGUUGCAGAAAUGGGGAUUACACUAUAUGAAGUAAUGUUACAUGAUAUGUGGGCUGGAAGUUCAUUAAUCUGGUGAAAUAUGUAGCACAUCAUCAACUUCUGGUGUGUCAUUUUAAAGAAUAUGCUUAUACAUUAGAAGUACUUACAUUGUUGACAACUUUAAAAUAGUGCCCACCUGGGUUCUCAAACCACUAGAAAAAUACAUUGUCAUAAGCCAAGGACUUAAAACAACUUCUGCUCUCUGCUGCUGAACAGAGCUGCUAAUAAGGGUCAUCCAUUCUUUCCCACAGCCACUUGAGUCUCUGCAAACAUUUGGGCUCUGAAGAACAUCUAGACAAACAGAUUUCUAUAUGGUCUCCAAAACACUUGUCAGCCACUUGAAGUUUCACUUAAGGAAAAAAAAAACAAGGCAACUAAGAAGCAAUUCUGAUGAUCCAGUUGAUCACCAUUUCCUGUGACAAACAGAAAGAUGAACUCUUAGAUUAACUGAGAUCCAGCAACUCAGUGAUAUUUGAGUUCCUUGAUCAAACCAUGCAAUCAAACCCAAAAAUAAAAGACACCAAGAACAAGACAUAUAAGAUCAUUGCAACAUGCACAGUGGAAUUUUCCAUAACAUAUAAGCAACUAUUUUUCCACAAUGCUAAUUCUUCCAGGUGAUUUUUGAGACUCUUGUAGCUGUAUUUUGGAAGACAUAGAUGACAUGGCUUGUGGUGGCAGGGCCCAGAAUCAGGGCAGGUUAAUUACAGGUUGAUUAUAAGAGGGAAUGAUAGAAGAGACAUAGACUACACUUUACAGCUGGGUAUCACCUGGGAAACAAUGACCCUAAAUAUUCAACUAUAUACACACUUUAAAUCAAGACCAGUACAUUCCUCUAGUGAAAGACACGCUACUUGCUAACCAUGCCUUGGUGCACCUCCCUGUGUUUAUCAGCAUCAUGAACAGAAAUCAUUUUACACAGUGCCCAAAUUAUUAACAUGUAACUGAUCCUCAGAGACAUACCUAUUUGUCCUGCUAUUUGGCUCCCAUAAAAACACUGAACUGAAAUUUUCAGUGCUGGUGAUCUUCGUGCUCAGCAGCAGAGGUGCAAAGUACUGGUCUCCCUCCUUGCUGGCCUUGGGCUAGCCAGUCCAUCUUACUCAAACACUCCUUCCUCUCCUCCUGAAGGAUGGUGAGCAGAAUUGUCAUAUUUCAGGCAAAUUGUUGUGAACUGUUGCAAAUAAAAAAAUCUCACUGGAAGUACUGUGAUAUGCUGGGAGCUCAUUUCAUAAAGUGUUUCUUUAUUUCAAUUUGUAUGAACUUUUGCAAUAAUUGCAUUUUUUUAAUCUGUAAAUUUACUCUAACCCAAGUGAGCAAAAAUAAGUAUGUCCAUCUUACAUGUUUCUUUAUUAAGAGGGCCUUUAUUAUGCCAAUGAAAACAAACAGUGUGGGAAAGUUUUAGUGUGUGUAUUUUUUUAAGUACGUUACAAGCACAAACAGUAAUUACAUCCAGACAACCAAUUAACUGGUUUAAAUCUAAAAAAAUAAAAUAAAUUAGGUAACUCGAAAUAAAACAAGUAUCCAUUUUUCUUAAUGCUGUUGGGUCAGACAAGCUGUGAUAAGUAGCUAUGGAGUUCAGUAAUGAUAGAUAUGGGGACAUAUUUCACCCAAGACUUUAACUUCAUUUUUACAAAUGAUUUUAUUUGAAGUUUUCAUCUGUCAGCAGAGUUUACAGUGAUGGAGAAAGAAAUCCAACCUACAUAAGCAUAUAAUUCCAUAACUUGUGAUACUGUGCAAAGUGUUGUAAUAUUUCUGUAAUAUAAGAAAUAUAAGAAGAAAUAAAAUAAGUUCUUUCUUGGCUUAGA